rnacentral:rRNA from 1 species
AGUGAACGCUGGCGGUAGGCCUAACACAUGCAAGUCGAACGGCAGCACAGUAAGAGCUUGCUCUUACGGGUGGCGAGUGGCGGACGGGUGAGGAAUACAUCGGGAUCUACUUUUUCGUGGGGGAUAACGUAGGGAAACUUACGCUAAUACCGCAUACGACCUACGGGUGAAAGCAGGGGAUCUUCGGACCUUGCGCGAUUGAAUGAGCCGAUGUCGGAUUAGCUAGUUGGCGGGGUAAAGGCCCACCAAGGCGACGAUCCGUAGCUGGUCUGAGAGGAUGAUCAGCCACACUGGAACUGAGACACGGUCCAGACUCCUACGGGAGGCAGCAGUGGGGAAUAUUGGACAAUGGGCGCAAGCCUGAUCCAGCCAUACCGCGUGGGUGAAGAAGGCCUUCGGGUUGUAAAGCCCUUUUGUUGGGAAAGAAAAGCAGCAGGUUAAUACCCCGCUGUUCGGACGGUACCCAAAGAAUAAACACCGGCGAACUUCGU